ACGUAGGUGGCAAGCGUUGUUCGGAAUUAUUGGGCGUAAAGGGCGCGUAGGCGGUUUGUUAAGUCGGUCGUGAAAGCCCGGGGCUCAACCCCGGAGGGUCGACCGAUACUGGCAGGCUAGAGUACAGGAGAGGUAGCUGGAAUUCCCGGUGUAGCGGUGAAAUGCGUAGAUAUCGAGAGGAACACCUGAGGUGAAGACGGGUUGCUGGGCCGACACUGACGCUGAGGCGCGAAAGCCAGGGGAGCAAACGGGA
rnacentral:rRNA from 1 species